rnacentral:miRNA from 1 species
GACAUUUCUAAGUGUCUAUUAU